UACGGAGGGUGCGAGCGUUAAUCGGAAUUACUGGGCGUAAAGGGCUCGUAGGCGGCCAACUAAGUCGAACGUGAAAUCCCUCAGCUUAACUGGGGAACUGCGUCCGAUACUGAUUGGCUUGAAUCCGGAAGAGGGAUGCGGAAUUCCAGGUGUAGCGGUGAAAUGCGUAGAUAUCUGGAGGAACACCGGUGGCGAAGGCGGCAUCCUGGGUCGGUAUUGACGCUGAGGAGCGAAAGCCAGGGGAGCAAACGGG
rnacentral:rRNA from 1 species